AGCGAACGCUGGCGGCAGGCUUAACACAUGCAAGUCGAGCGGGCGUAGCAAUACGUCAGCGGCAGACGGGUGAGUAACGCGUGGGAACGUGCCCUUUAGUUCGGAACAACACAGGGAAACUUGUGCUAAUACCGGAUAAGCCCUUACGGGGAAAGAUUUAUCGCCGAAGGAUCGGCCCGCGUCUGAUUAGCUUGUUGGUGGGGUAACGGCUCACCAAGGCUACGAUCGGUAGCUGGUCUGAGAGGAUGAUCAGCCACACUGGGACUGAGACACGGCCCAGACUCCUACGGGAGGCAGCAGUGGGGAAUAUUGGACAAUGGGGGCAACCCUGAUCCAGCCAUGCCGCGUGGGUGAUGAAGGCCCUAGGGUUGUAAAGCUCUUUCGGCGGGGAAGAUAAUGACGGUACCCGCAUAAGAAGCCCCGGCUAACUUCGUGCCAGCAGCCGCCGUAA
rnacentral:rRNA from 1 species